UCACCCAGCAGAGCAUACGCCCAUCCAAACCAUGGGCAGCCAGCUUCCCACAAGGAUGUUGUGGGGGACAGAGUCAAAGGCUUUCCUGAAGUUCAGGCAGACCGCAUCGACAGCCCCACCUUCAUCACCUUGUCAUAGAAUGACAUCAGGUUUGUCAAGCGGGAUUUAUCAUUCAUAUCUCAGGAGGCUUUAACCCAACUGCUGAAAGGAUAUAGGAAGGAUAUAGAAAGUAUAUAUGAAUAUGUCAUCCCUGUGUCACGGUAAUCAUAAGCCCUAUGCAUGUUCUAUGUUUCUUACACGCUCCAUCAUUCUCACAGCGAUACACAGGGCUCUGGGGAGCCGACGUUUCCAUUGUUGGGGAUCUUGCUGCCACCUCGAGGUACUGGGCCGAAUUGCCACCUUCGGUAUGAAAAACGAGGGAAAAAUACAAUUCUGAACCCACAGCACCUCAAAGUCCCUUCAAGAGACCACAGCUACUGCCCUAAGCCCUCCAAUUUCCCCUGCUGCCCCUUAAAAACCUCAGGAGUGCCAGCAGCACCUGGUGCCUUAGGGUGCCCGCUGGAUUUCACAAGGAUGCAUUCAUCUCCUGCAUUGUGAUCAUUGGGAAAAAUAUCCAACAGCGCUGACCCGAGCUGGGGAUUCAGUGGUGACAUACAGGGAAACCUGCUGUGCUGCAGUGUGAGCCUCCGGUCCUGCUGCUGGGCAACAUUGGGCACAGCCUGGCUCCGUCCUCUCUGCUCCUCCCUGCAGGGACUGAUGGCCGUGCCUGGGAUCCCUCGAGCCUCCUCUUCUGCAGGCUGAGCCGCCCCAGCUCUCCCAGAAUCCCACCCCAACCAUUUCCCACGCAGUGCUGAGGAGGGGAGGCGAUGUGAGAAGAGGAAAGGGGCUGGUGGUUGCAGUCAUAUGACACGGCCACUUGUGCUGCCCUGUCCUUACCCGGCGGUGGGCACAGGGACGGAGGGCUCUUUGGAGCUGCAGAAAUGACUGCAGUCGAAAUGCUGAAAAACGAGUGCUAAACAUUUAAUCAUUUAACAUACAGAGCAAUAAACACAGAAAUGACCGUAUUCCCAACCAGGUUCCACCCUAACAAUCAUUCCCUCCUCACGGCUUCCCUCCUCGGGGCCAACACGAAGCGGCUUCACGCAGCUCCGGGAGCUCCGCGCGGGGACAGACAGACAGGAGCUCCGCGGGGACAGACAGACAGAUGGAAACCGGCACUUGGGGACCGCAGCUGCGGGGCAGCAACUCGGCACAGCGCUGCUGAUUUGAGCCGCGCGAGAACCGAAGGCGCCCGCCCGACUCCGUGCCGGGCUCCGACGUGCCUCGAUCCGUGCGAUCGCUCCCUCUCUUUCGGGGCUGCCCGGCUCAGCCAGGAACCGCUCCCGGACACCGGGCGGGUCCCGCCGCUCGCGGUCAGCCGCCGCUCCUCACAGCCCCCGCGCCGCCUUUCCCUGACCGCCCGGCGUCCCGAGGCACGAGGCGGGCGGCGGCAGGGCGGCGGAGCGCCGCUUUCCCCGCACGGAGCCCCGCGGCUCCGCAGCCGCCAUUGGCCCGCGCUCGGUCCCGCCUUCGCCGCGCUCCAUUGGUCGGUCCUCCGGAUGGGGCGGGCACUCCGCGAGGGGUCCUUUCCCUCCGCCGUCGCGCCGUCAUUGCGUCAUCACCGCGCGCGUUCCGCAUGGCCCCGGCCCGGCCGUCUGCGGCGCUGCCGCUCGCCCGCUCCGCUUCUGGGGUCUCCGGGCGGCCGGGUCCCGGCUGGGGCUGCGGGAGGAGGAGAGCGGGGACGUGGGGGACCGCAGCGAGGCCGAGCCCGCCCCGCCCCGCCCCGCCCCGCCCCGCUCCGCUCCGUGAGGGCCUUCCUGGAGAGCGGCGAGCACGGGCUGGCGGCUGCCCAAAGGUGGGGGAGCGGGGCGUCCGGGGCGAGCGGCAGGGCCCGGCCAUGGCGCCGGGAAACUCCGAGGGCACCUUGACGUCCUGCUGCAGGCGGCGGUGGCGGUAGUUCAGGUAGUUCAGCCCCACGCAGAUCGCCUUCUCGGGGUCGUCGAUGGGCGCCGACGGCCGCACUCCCGCCCGAUGCAAACGGUGCCGGCCCAAGGCGGGGCGGGGCUGAGCGCGGGGCGAUCACCUGCUGCUGCUGGCUGCGCUGCUGCCGGUACAAGCGGGCUUCUUGGCCGCCUGGGCGCACAGUUGUCUCACGUUCAGCUGAGCGUCGAUCCACACCUCCAGAUCCUUUUCCUCCGCGCGGCGUUCCAGCCGCUCUGUCCCCAGCCUGCCGCCGUGCCUGGGGUUGUUGUGACCGAAGUGCGGGUGGUGGUGAACCUCGUGCCGUUGGCGUCAGCCAUUGAUCAGCCUGUCCGGACCCCUCUGCAUACUCUUCAUAUCCUUAGGCAGAUUAUAGGAGGAUUAUAGGAGCAAGAGCUGAAGGGCAGUGGGAGGGAGGGAGGGAUGGAGGGAGGAAGCCCCAUUGGGAGCCCGGGGACCGCGUGCUGUGGGUGUCGGCACAAAACUCCUCCAUCUGUCAGCACAGGAGCUGCGGUUCUGGCUGCAGCAGCAGGAACUCAGCGCAGCUCUGCAGAUGGCGGUCCGGCAGCACGAGAAGAUGAUGGCCACGGAGUGCGAGAGCCUCUGCAGCCUGCGAGAAGCCAACACGCUGCCAAAGAGAGGGGAAGGAGGACUCCCAUCCUGCUUCUAGCAGUCCUUUCUGGUGACUGUUCCCCAGCCAAAGCCAUCCCAGCAGAGCCGGAGAGCAGGACUGUCCCACAUGGCAUGUCCCCGCUAGGUCUGGAGGAGGAAAAUGGGGCUGUGGGGCUCAGAGCAGUCUGAGCAAACUAAUGGUCUCUCCCUACUGAUGUCCCCCACAGCUGGAGCCUUCCUCUGGAUUUUGGCUUGGUGAAAUGACAUCCCGCGGGUCAGUGCCAUGGUGUGCAGCAAAGGCCAAGCUCUGCCCUUCUGCCUCUGUGGAGACGGGGAGAUGGCAUCAGCAGGACCUGUGCAUGAGCUCCCGUCUCUGGGGAACUCACUGGUUUGGCUGGAGGGGAAGAGGCAGGAGCUGAACGUGAAAACUACUCAGGUGUCAGCCAGGAAGGACUUCAUUCUCCAAUCAGUGUUUGAUGUCCUCAAAGAGAAUGGGGUCCACGGAUUGAAGAGAGAGGUGCCACUGUUGAUGCAGAGAGGACAUCCAAGAGCUUUGGUGGGAAAGGCUGGAAGAACCAUUGGCUUUCUCCACUCUUUUCCACCACAAAGCCUCCCAAGACACUCUUGCAGCCCAAUAUUUCUCCUGGCAACUGCUGGGCUUUCCAAGGAUCUCAGGGCCACGUGGUCAUCCAGUUGCCGGAGAAAAUCCGUCCCAUGGCGUUCACCAUCUGGCACAUCUCCAAGGCGGUCUCUCCCUCAGGGGAAGUCAGCAGUGCCCCCAAAGACUUUGCUGUCUUGCCUGCCUAAGUGUGACCGCUGUCAUCUCUUGUCUUUGAGGGAGUGGAUGAGGCCGAAGGUGAAACUCUCCUGGGGUUAUUUGUUUAUGACGUGUACAGAGAGAUCGCCCAGACCUUCCACAUGCAGGUACGGCAAGUGCAUGCGGCAGGCUGCCAGGGAGGAAGGCCGGGCUGCCUGCUAGUCCUGGGACGGAAGGGUUUGCCUGAUCAGCCGGGCCUUCCUCUGCUCUCCAACGUGGCCGACUCCUGCGGGGCAGACAGACAAGGUAGCCAUCCCACCUUUGGUAGCAAUUCUUCCUGCUAGAGCAGAGAGAGCAGCAGCGGGAAGGCAGUGCGGGAGGGAAACUGUCCGACCCCUGCGGGUGUGGAGGGACGAUUGCUGGUGGGAGGGAGGAGUGCAGCUGCCUUCCCCCAUCAGCAGCGCCAUCCUGGCAUCCCACGGCAGCCCAAGGAACAGAGGAGAGCAAGCCAGGGUUCGGCAGCUGGCAAAGGGAGCUGUGCAGAUGUGCCGUGGCUCUUCCCACGUGCAUCAUGAAGCCUCUCCUCUUUGUGUUGGCAGGAGGAGCCCUGCAAAGCCUUUGGCCGUGUCAAAUUGGAGGUGCGGAGCAAUUGGAGAAAUGCAGAACACACCUGCGUGUACUGAGUGGAAAUUCACGGAACUUGAUAAAAGACAGCAGAGAUUUUUAGAAGGGAAUAAUUAAAAUAAAAUGUUGAUGGCUUUCUGCCCGUGUUGAGGUUGAUCACUGGAGUGGCGCGUUGGGGCUGGGGGAGGGCGGAGCUGCAGGGCUGAGUUGGGCGAGCGCCCUAGCAAGCUGUGACAUUGGAAGGGAUGCCAUUCAGAGGGACCUCGAGAGGCUAGAA